GCAUGGACUGAGAGUAGGAGAGGAGCCCAUCCCCAAAGAAAAGACCCAAAUCCUUGCUUCUGGAUCUGCUCUCAAGCUAAGAAGGUCACUCUCAAGCUAACUCUCAAGCUAA
rnacentral:lncRNA from 1 species